rnacentral:ribozyme from 1 species
UUGAAUUGUUCUGCAAUCGGAUUGAAACCCUUGACCGUAUCGUAAGGAAUUAUCAAGGCAGUAUUCAUUCCUAGAUCCUACUCAACACGUUCACGCCGUUCAGAAUGAUAACAUUUCAUUACUGUGAAAUGACUAAGUUGUAAGGG